rnacentral:tRNA from 1 species
GGGGAUUUAGCUCAGCGGUAGAGCGCUUGCCUAGCAAAUGCAAGGCCCUGGGUUCGGUCCCCAGCCCCG